rnacentral:rRNA from 2 species
GAGUUUGAUCUUGGCUCAGAUUGAACGCUGGCGGCAUGCCUUACACAUGCAAGUCGAACGGCAGCACGGGAGCUUGCUCCUGGUGGCGAGUGGCGAACGGGUGAGUAAUGCAUCGGAACGUAUCCUGGAGUGGGGGAUAACGUAGCGAAAGUUACGCUAAUACCGCAUAUUCUGUGAGCAGGAAAGCGGGGGACCUUCGGGCCUCGCGCUCUUGGAGCGGCCGAUGUCGGAUUAGCUAGUUGGUGAGGUAAAGGCUCACCAAGGCGACGAUCCGUAGCAGGUCUGAGAGGAUGAUCUGCCACACUGGAACUGAGACACGGUCCAGACUCCUACGGGAGGCAGCAGUGGGAAUUUUGGACAAUGGGGGCAACCCUGAUCCAGCCAUGCCGCGUGAGUGAAGAAGGCCUCGGUUGUAA